rnacentral:misc_RNA from 1 species
CAAUCUCAGCUUGUCUUUCUCAGAGAACUCGCAUAGACAAACAGCACAAUCAAAUGGCUCCUUCAGACCUACAAUCUCUCUGUACUGAAAAACAGGAAGAGCAUCAAUAAAUGCUUGAUCCAGACCAGAAUCAUGGAGAUGGAAAAGCUGCUGUAGUUGUCUUUGAAGAGCAUCUGGUCCAGAGAUUUCAGGGUAUCUAUUAGAUUGAGAGGAACCCGAAGAAGAUGGAUGCUUUAUAAGGAAUCUAACAAGCAAGUGGAGCAAACCAGAGAUGAAAAAUAGUACUGCAAGAAUCACUAUAAUGAAAAGAACCGCAGGGCUAAUUCUUGUACCAGAAGACGGCGGUGAUGAAGAUGAAGGGGUUGAUUCUUUAUGGAAAGUAGUAGUAUAUGGAGACAUUGAAGAAGGAGAAAGAGGAGGCGGAUAUGUCAAAUAACCAUCUUUUUGCUUUAUUUGAUACUGAAUCCAUGACAUCUUCAAAUGGGUAUGCUCCAUGAGCCAUCUAUUCUCUCUGCUCUCUGACAUCCCACAGAUCAUAUGGCAACACCCAGAAACCGUAAAUUCUCUUUUAGCUCAAAAAUCAAACACAAAUCCAACUCAUUUUCAUAUCAAUAAUGCACAAAACAAACACACCUUUUUCCUUCCACAUGUAAAAACCCAAUAAAACCCACAAUUCCUUCUCCUUUCCCUUCACUCAAAUGUGAAUGCUAACAUUUGUUGUAUGAGAUAGCAGUAGCAAGUAGUGGUCUUUUAAAUUUUUAAAAUUCUUAAUUCCUUGUUCAUAUCAUGCAUCAAAUGAAACCGAACCCAAGUGACUGAUUGAGCAAUAAAAGAGCAAGAGAAGCUGCCAUACACAAAAACAACAGAAGUUGAAUACUUACCUAACCUGAUUCUUGAGAGAGAGAGAGAGAGGGCCGAAAAAUGGCGCUUUACAUCGAUGAAGAGGAGGUUUGGAAAUGUCCGAAACACCCUUCGAAGCGCCGCCGUACAGGAAUCUGCCACGUGUGCCUCCGGGAGAGACUCUCUUCCCUCUGCCCGGACUGCACCAACGUACGGCCGUGUGCUUGCUACGCGGUGACAACGUCCUCCUCGACUUCGUCUUCUUUCUCUCGAUUCUCCACCGCUUCCGCUGCCGAAUCAAUCGCCUCAGGAAUCGGAACUGUCGGCCGCGUGUCCAAUCUGAUCGAGAGCGAG